CAACGGCCAGGGGAUGGAGCGCGCUCCCCGCGCCCCGGCACCCCUCUCCCACGGUCGCGGCAGGACAAAGAUCCGCAAGCACCCCUGCGAGCAGUUCUGCUCCUUUGACAAGGGACUCCUGCCCCAACCCACCUGUGCUCAAUGACCUUCGGGACAAGCAUUCCUCCCAUCCACUUUUCAGAUGAGGGGACGUGUGGGGCGACUUACAGCGAACAAGUGGCAGCCCAGCAUUCUAGAUUCCACCGCCUGCCGGUUCCAGUGACUAGUGUGCAUCCCCUUUUUAAGGGUUAACAGAGCCCCACACAGAAGUAGCUGGCCCUAAGACGCAAAGCAAGUCACCUGUGAGCCCGGAAGCAAGAGAAGCCUCCAGACCCCCAAUAAAACCAAACACAGGAGGA